UCAUUAGCUACCAAAAGUUAUUCUACGCCGAUGUGCUAAGUUGUCUGUGGAAAAAGUUAUUCGAGGUACAAAGACUUAAAAUUUUCUCAAUUUUUCCUAAAAAAUUCCUCAUUUUGCCACUUUGGAUGCUUAUAACUCGGUCAGUUUCCAAUGGAUCUUCAAUUGUAACACAGAUUUGGAAAGAUCUGCUCAUCAGCUACCAAAAGUUAUUCUACGCCGAUGUGCUAAGUUGUCUGUGGAAAAAGUUAUUCGAGGUACAAAGACCUAAAAUUUUCUCAAUUUUUCCUAAAAAAUUCCUCAUUUUGCCACUUUGGAUCCUUAUAACUCGGUCAGUUUCCAAUGGAUCUUCAAUUGUAGCACAUAUUUGGAUAGAUCUAGUCAUUAGCUACCAAAAGUUAUUCUACGCCGAUGUGCUAAGUUGUCUGUGGAAAAAGUUAUUCGAGGUACAAAGACUUAACAUUUUCUCAACUUUUCCAAAAAAUUCCUCAUUUUGCCACUUUGGAUCCUUAUAACUCGGUCAGUUUCCAAUGGAUCUUCAAUUGUAGCACAUAUUUGGAUAGAUCUGGUCAUUAGCUACCAAAAGUUAUUCUACGCCGAUGUGCUAAGUUGUCUGUGGAAAAAGUUAUUUGAGGUACAAAGACUUAACAUUUUCUCAAUUUUUCUAAAAAAAUUCCUCAUUUUGCCACUUUGGAUGCUUAUAACUCGGUCAGUUUCCAAUGGAUCUUCAAUUGUAGCACAUAUUUGGAUAGAUCUGGUCAUUAGCUACCAAAAGUUAUUGUACGCCGAUGUGCUAAGUUGUCUGUGGAAAAAGUUAUUUGAGGUACAAAGACUUAACAUUUUCUCAAUUUUUCUAAAAAAAUUCCUCAUUUUGCCACUUUGGAUGCUUAUAACUCGGUCAGUUUCCAAUGGAUCUUCAAUUGUAGCACAUAUUUGGAUAGAUCUGGUCAUUAGCUACCAAAAGUUAUUCUACGCCGAUGUGCUAAGUUGUCUGUGGAAAAAGUUAUUCGAGGUACAAAGACUUAACAUUUUCUCAACUUUUCCAAAAAAUUCCUCAUUUUGCCACUUUGGAUGCUUAUAACUCGGUCAGUUUCCAAUGGAUCUUCAAUUGUAGCACAUAUUUGGAUAGAUCUGAUCAUUAGCUACCAAAAGUUAUUCUACGCCGAUGUGCUAAGUUGUCUGUGGAAAAAGUUAUUCGAGGUACAAAGACUUAACAUUUUCUCAACUUUUCCAAAAAAAAUUCCUCAUUUUGCCACUUUGGAUGCUUAUAACUCGGUCAGUUUCCAAUGGAUCUUCAAUUGUAGCACAUAUUUGGAUAGAUCUGGUCAUUAGCUACCAAAAGUUAUUCUACGCCGAUGUGCUAAGUUGUCUGUGGAAAAAGUUAUUCGAGGUACAAAGACUUAACAUUUUCUCAACUUUUCCAAAAAAUUCCUCAUUUUGCCACUUUGGAUGCUUAUAACUCGGUCAGUUUCCAAUGGAUCUUCAAUUGUAGCACAUAUUUGGAUAGAUCUGGUCAUUAGCUACCAAAGUUAUUCUACGCCGAUGUGCUAAGUUGUCUGUGGAAAAAGUUAUUUGAGGUACAAAGACUUAACAUUUUCUCA